UACAGGGGGGGCAAGCGUUGUUCGGAAUUACUGGGCGUAAAGGGCUCGUAGGCGGCCAACUAAGUCGGAUGUGAAAUCCCUCGGCUCAACCGGGGAACUGCGUCUGAUACUGGGUGGCUUGAAUCCGGGAGAGGGAUGCGGAAUUCCAGGUGUAGCGGUGAAAUGCGUAGAUAUCUGGAGGAACACCGGUGGCGAAGGCGGCAUCCUGGACCGGCAUUGACGCUGAGGCGCGAAAGCGUGGGGAGCGAACAGG
rnacentral:rRNA from 1 species